UACGGGGGGGGCAAGCGUUGUUCGGAAUUACUGGGCGGAAAGGGCUUGUAGGUGGCCAACUAAGUCAGACGUGAAAUCCCUCGGCUUAACCGGGGAACUGCGUCUGAUACUGGAUGGCUAGAGAUUGGGAGAGGGAUGCGGAAUUCCAGGUGUAGCGGUGAAAUGCGUAGAUAUCUGGAGGAACACCGGUGGCGAAGGCGGCUUUCUGGACAAAUACCGACGCUGAGGCACGAAAGCUAGGGGAGCAAACAGG
rnacentral:rRNA from 1 species